GACAAACGCUGGCGGGGUGCAUGAGACAUGCAAGUCGAACGAGGUGCCAUUGAGCUUGCUUGAUGGUUACCUAGUGGCGGACGGCUGAGUAACGCGUAGGUGACCUGCCCGGAAGUGGGGAAUAACUGCCCGAAAGGGUGGCUAAUACCGCAUGUGGUCGAUGAUUCAUUUCGUCGUCUAAAGGAGUAAUCCGCUUCCGGAGGGGCCUGCGUCCGAUUAGCUAGUUGGGAGGU
rnacentral:rRNA from 1 species